GAGGGUAUAGCUCAGUGGUAGAGCAUGUGCUUAGCAUGCACAAGGUCCUGGGCUCAAUCUCCAGAACCUCCA
rnacentral:tRNA from 1 species